GGACGCGAUGGCCGGGUCCGCGUGGGUGUCCAAGGUCUCUCGGCUGCUGGGUGCAUUCCACAACACAAAACAGGUGACAAGAGGUUUUGCUGGUGGUGUGAGUAUAAUUACAUCUUUUAUUUUUUCCUUUUAGAAGUUUCUCAAGAAAGAUGCUCAAAUACAUUUAUUACUUAGCAUUCCUUCUUCAUUUACUUAAAACUAAAGGGAAUUGGCCACACGUCUAAUGUAUACUAAAAUUAUUGGCAGACAAAUACACAAAUCUCUUAUCAUUUUCCUAUUUAAAAGGAGUCUGUUACAUCUGGCUAUGUAAGCUUGUCCCAUUAAUAUCUUCAAGGAGCCAUGAUUAAAAAUAGAAGUUACCCGGAGCCUGUUACCUUAUUUUAUAAUCUCGUUACUGUCUUAAGACACUUAGGGGUUUUAUUUUUUCAAAAACAAGUACAAAUUGAAAGAAAAUUGUUGAGAAGCUUCAAAACCCUGCUCUGCAUUUUUGUUUUCUGAGCUUCCCUAAGAACCGUAGAUUGGUCACCAGCUAUGAACACCUUGUGCUUCUGUGGGCCCUGCAGGCUUACACUUUCCUUGUGCAGCCUGCAGACCCCACUUUAGCAGAUCACCUCGUGCUCGCUAAAUCUGCUGCUUUGGGAACCUCCUGGCUAUAGAGUCCUGUGCUUGAAAAGCUGAUGUCACAUUUUUGGAGCAUUCCAAGACUGUGUGUCAGUGACUUCCUAUUUAUUUUUGUAUCCCCUUUUAUAGAAUCUGAUUUGGAUUUUAUAAUUCCUUCAUUCCUAUACUCCCACAUGAUGUUUUAUGCCAUGAGGAAUUGAAGAGACUAUAGUAUAUUUCUCCCUCUAUUUGCUGUCUAUUCUGGAGAAGAGUAGCUUCCCAGAUGAGAUCACCUGUGGGAGAACAGGAAGAGGAACCCGUGGCCCUGCUUAUGCCAGAACGCAGAUACGAACUCAGAGCAGUUGAAUGUAUGAGCAAGACCCAUGCAAGCCCAAACCAGACUAAAUCCCAGCAUGGAAGGGGGUAUUGGGCACAAAAUCCCACCUCUCGAUGGGGAAUGAUUGGCUAGUAUUAGCUAUUGGGAGAGGGAGAGUCUGGUUUCUCUAAUUAGAGUGUAGGUCCUAGUCAAAUGACCAUGGGCCAUUGGAAAUCCACAUGUUCAAGAAUAUUUGAGCAUUACAAAUUGGUCUUGAAAAGAGAAAAAGGCCACAAAGCUAGGUGGGCGGGGAAGGAGGAGGUGAGUCUGGGGAGAGUUGGAGGGAGGUGAAUGUGAUCAAGACACAUUAUAUGGAAUUCUCAAAGAACUAAUAAAAAUUUUUUAAAAAUACAGAAUAAGGCUUGCACUUCAAGCUCAAGAAUAGCCAUGCCAACAUUUCAAACCCAUUCUGAAGCUGGACCUGAUGGUACAGCUGUGAACUCAGCUGCUCAGGAGGCUGAGGCAGGAGGAUCAACAGAAGUACAGGGCCUCCUGGGCUCCUUAGCCUGGUCAGUGAGGCCAUUUCAAAAGAAAUAAUGAAGAUCUAUAUUUUCAGAAGGGCUGAUUCAGCCAUAUACAAAACUUGAGAAAUAAUUAGUCAACCUGUCCAGGUGUCAUUAUAAGGCAGAGGACCAGGGAAAGUUGAAUUAGUGAUUAAAACAAAUAAGUUUAUGAUUUAAAAAAAUAUUUUAUUAAUUCUUUGAGAAUUUCAUACAUGUACUCAGUGUAUUUUAAUUAUAUUUAUCUUACUCUUCCCCUUCAAUUAAUGAAGUUUUUAAAAUAUACUUGAAGCAACUAGAACUAUAUGCCAGGUAAAAUGUAGUUCCCUCGAAGAGGGGUCUGAGUGAGUGUUCAAAUCCUCUCAUCUUUUCUUCUGACAUAUUUUAUUUCCUCAGUGUUUGAAAUGCUUGCUCACCGUUGUUCAGAGCAGUUGGAACAAGUAAUUGAUGUUACACCAUAGACACAUUGACUGUUCGCUGGCCCUUAUAGGUCUGACCACAUUACUGGUUGCUGUUGACCCCAUACUCACUUAGCUCUCAGGAUGGAGCCAGUUUUAUAGAGGAACUAGGGGAUGUGGAAGCCCUCAAAAAUGAAAUCUGAUUUUUCUUAGAGGGUCAAAACAGAUCUCCAAAAUUCUGGAAACAUGUUGGAGUUUUAUGCACCUGACUGUUUGCUAAGAACCCCCCGCCCCCCCCAGGCUUCCACAGAUCAGGAAGCUGGGGCUUUGGUGCAGAGCUGCAGUGCUGAGCUGUUUGUUGUCUUGGGAUUUACAGAUGUGAAUUAGCAGGUCGUUGAAGUUUGUCUGAAAAGAAAUGCAAGUCAGGAAGUAUACUUGGUAGUUUACUUUUGUUUUAUUGAAGGGCAUCGUUUGCAUUACUAUUUAAAUUUCCAAACUCAGUUGAGAACAGAGACGUGGAGUAUCAUGGAGUUGGAUUCUGCCUCUGUCAAGAUCAAAGUGAGAGGUUUGCUGUCUUUCAAGCAUUUGGGUCUUUCAGACAUACACUGGGGAAGUGAGUUUCUCUGUGAGAGAUACUCUCUUU
rnacentral:lncRNA from 1 species